AACGAACGCUGGCGGCAUGCCUAACACAUGCAAGUCGAACGGAACCUUCGGGUCUGGGGGCGCACGGGGGCGUAACGCGGGGGAACCUGCCCUUAAGUUCGGAAUAACUCCCCGAAAGGGGUACUAAUACGGGGUAAUGUCUUCGGACCAAAGAUUUAUCGCCUUUGGAGGGGCCAGAGUUGGUUUGGCUAGUUGGUAGGGUGAAACCCUGCCAAGGCGACGAUCCAUAGCUGGUCUGAGAGGAUGAUCAGUCAGACUGGGACUGGGACCCGGCCCCGACUGCUACGGGAGGCAGCGGUGGGGACUAUUGGGGCAUGGGCGAGAGCCAGAUCCAGCACGGCCGCGUUAGCGAUGAAGGCGUUAGGGUUCGAAAGCUCUAUUACCCGGGCUGAUAAUGACGGUACCUGCAGAAUAAGCACCGGCUAACUACGUG
rnacentral:rRNA from 1 species